UUGCAAUGAUGACUACUUAGGACACCUUUGGAUAACCCAUGAAAAGACUUAACACGAUCUGAGCAAC